AGGAGAGGAGAGGAGAGGAGAGGGACGGGAGAGAUGGAGAGGAGGAGAAAGAGGAAGAGGAGAGGAGAGGAGAGGUGGUAAUGCAUUAUUUCCACUGGCUCCUCGGUCCACCCUGCUGCCAGAACAGACUAGAACAGAUUGACUACAACACAUUGUCUAGCUUGCUCCGAUCCGUUCUGCCUUUUUCUGCGCCUCAGCCAAGGAAAGACUUUCUCUUUUAAACCACUCCGUUUUUAUACUCGAACCCCUUUGGGCGUCAGCCCUGUCGUCGUUUCUGUCGCAAAACAAACAAGGACGUGUGCUGUUUCCUGUCCAUACCCCUCGAUCCCCUCCCCUCAUCAAGACUACCCACUGGACUUGUCCAAGCACCUUCCUACCUUCCUACCUUGUUUUGUGAUUGUCCUGUUGUCAUGUUUUAUUUCCAGAGGAAGCUAGGUAUUCAUCUGUUCUCAUCAACAAACCCUAAAGGAAGGAAGGUUGAGAAUCUGGUGCAGUGCACCCACAGUGCAUGCUGUUUAAAUGCUGUCUGAAUACCUUUCUGUGGACUAGUCUUAAUACAGCGGUUGACUCGGCUCCACGAAUCUUCUGACUCGCGUCAGAACAAGUGAAAUUCUACUGAAUAUGCAGACAAGAGGGAGAACAUAUUUUUGGAUCGUUGGUAUUUGCUUUGAUUUAUUACGUUUUUUUGUUGUUGUCUGUCUGGGAUCAAGGACGUAUUCCUAAAACUGAACAGGUCAAACAGCCAAUCUGUCCUCUUUCUGUCCUGAUGUCCUAACAUCCUAUCUGUCCUCUUUCUGUCCUGAUGUCCUAACAUCUCGUCUGUCCUCUUUCUGUUCUGAUGUCCUAACAUCUCAUCUGUCCUCUUUCUGUCCUGAUGUCCUAACAGAACAUCUGUCCUCUUUCUGUCCUGAUGUCCUAACAGAACAUCUGUCCUCUUUCUGUUCUGAUGUCCUAACAUCUAAUCUGUCCUCUUUCUGUCCUGAUGUCCUAACAGAACAUCUGUCCUCUUUCUGUUCUGAUGUCCUAACAUCUAAUCUGUCCUCUUUCUGUCCUGAUGUCCUAACAGAACAUCUGUCCUCUUUCUGUUCUGAUGUCCUAACAGAACAUCUGUCCUCUUUCUGUUCUGAUGUCCUAACAUCUCAUCUGUCCUCUUUCUGUCCUGAUGUCCUAACAGAACAUCUGUCCUCUUUCUGUUCUGAUGUCCUAACAUCUAAUCUGUCCUCUUUCUGUCCUGAUGUCCUAACAGAACAUCUGUCCUCUUUCUGUUCUGAUGUCCUAACAUCUCAUCUGUCCUCUUUCUGUCCUGAUGUCCUAACAGAACAUCUGUCCUCUUUCUGUCCUGAUGUCCUAACAUCUCAUCUGUCCUCUUUCUGUUCUGAUGUCCUAACAGAACAGGUCUAACAUCCCAUCUGGAUGAUGAACAUACUGUGGAAGAAUCAUUCAAACGUCUGUAUUAAUAAACCACAGAACGGUAUUUUAUUUUACCUUUGGUUUUUGUUUUUAAUAAAUAGCUAUAUAAAAUAACAGUAUAACAAAAUCAUUUGAAUUCAGCAAUGUGAACUAUCGUCCUUUAAUCACUACUCGUUGUUCUUGAACAAAACUUAAGGGAAUAAAGGCAGACUAUGUUUGAAAAAAUGAUUUUUAUUUGACAUGAAUUACUUGUAUUUUUUAUUUUAUUUGAUUUACUGUAGAGGAAUACAACAGUCUGUCAUCCAUAAUAAUAUUGUUUUCUUUUAGUAAUGUGUGUUUUUUGUUUCAGCAGUAUUUCUCAGUGUAUUUCUACCUUGAAAGAAUGCUCUGAGGGCAGAGAAGGAAAAGUGUUCCUAGUGAGAAGAGAUAUGGAUGCUUAAAAAACAGGACAUUACUAAAACAUGUUCUCCUUUUUAACACAUCGACUGCUGGGCUGGACCGACUGCUGGGCUGGACCGGCUGCUGGGCUGGACCGGCUGCUGGCCUGGACCGGCUGCUGGGCUGGACCGGCUGCUGGCCUGGAC
rnacentral:lncRNA from 1 species